UGAUGAUUGCUCCUCUUGGUUCCUGGGUUUCUAACUCAUCUGUUUCUUUCCCAAAGGGCCAGGGGCUGGAGCUUGACGGGUGGGCUUUUGGCCAGGGCCCUCAAAGUAAAUGAUUACCUGGAUCCUAUUUCCAGGGACUUGGCGCAAGCUGUUGGCUCUCAGUCUGACCAGUCAGAGGAAAGAGGAAAUUAACAGAGAAAGAAAAAUAGAGCAUAGAUAAUUAUUGUAAACAUGACAGCAAGGGAAGGGAAAGGAGGGUAUAUUUACUGUAUCAUUGAACAGUGACCGGAAUAUUAGAUGAGCAAAUCCCUGAAAACGAUUAAAGAGAUCUUAAUAUUUUAUAAAGGGGGUCAUUGGGCAAUAUGUACAUUCUGAAAUCACGAAUUUUAGAACAUGAAAUAAAUGUUUGCGUAUCUCUGUUUGUUACUCUGCUGGAAAUGAUUUGAUCUGCUUAGUAUGAGUUAGUACUAUGGAUUCCCAAAAGUAUGUUUUCUCCUCUUUUCCUCACAUAGUUGAAUAUUUAAAAGCAGGCUGACGGCUUUCUUUCUUUACUUGUUUGUUUCCAUUGUGUCUUAGCCUGGGUUCUGCAGAAGGCAGGCUUCUUGAAGAUUUUGCUGGGGAGUGUGAGCUCCAGGAAAGAAGGAAUGUUGUGUAAGUGAGUUGCCUGCAGCACUUAUCUGCAAGCACUGAUUCCUGGUGGCAGGAUCAUGCCGGACCCCCUGAGGAGCCAUUUGCAAUGAAUCUGAAGACUGGUCAUCAGGGGAAGAAAGUGGAAGGAUUGCCUGCCAAGUUCUGUUCCCUGGAGGCCAUAGGUUUGCCUGUAAGAUGUUAACUGUCACAUCUUCCAGGAUGGAGAUUUGUGGGUACCAAAUGGGUUCCCGAGGCAUCCCACUCUGUGUCCACAGAGAGGCGCUGGUGCGGGCAGUGAAGAGCCUUGAGGUGUAAGUGGGGAUGACAGGAGCUGUUGGUGAGUACCCAGUGAAGGCUGAAACAAAAGAUAAGUGAAGUUGAGGGGGGCCAAAGUCGUAAAUAAGAGAUGUCCCAUACAAAUGGUGAAGCAGUAACACCACACAGGUUAUUCCUUGGGACAGUGUUUUGGUCAGAAAGAUGGAGAAUGAAAAUAUUUAGACAUCGACUUCAGCCUUGAAUUUUGUUUCUUCUUAGUAGUAAUCUUAGUACAGUAAAGUCUUCUUAAUAUAUUUGCCCAGAGCUGAAAAAAAACAACAACACAAAGUUCCAGCUGAAGAUCUAUCAACACACCUCACUUCUGAACGCCAUUGCAUGGUGGUUCCUCGCACGGCACAUAUUCUCUCUGAGAUCCUAUCCACAGCCUGGAUGUCUGUAUGAUUCCCAUCUCGAAAUUACCAUGUCAGCUUCCCUUCUGAACCGAGGGUCCAUUUACUUUAUUACCUUUAAGAAUCUUCCCAUAGGAACUUGCAACAUAACUUGCAAUAUAAUCCGCGACAGAAAUCAACACUGAAAUCUCGCCCUCUUGCCUGGUUAGUCUAUAUGACUGGAAUGCAUAGGGCCAGGGCUGGGAGGGAGUCAUCUCUGAUGCUUUUCUUUCCUCUGUCCUUCACUCCCUUCCCACAGUCGAUCAGCUGUGAAGUUCCAAGUCCACCCCUUCCUAUCUGCAGCUCUGCCCUCUCUUUUCUCUUCCCUGGUCUGCCGUCUUUUUUCUCUUCUCUGAAGUGACUUCUUUUGUUCGUCUCCUCUGGCCUGGGUUACAGCCACAAAUGGCCUCCUGACUGUCUCUCUCCUUUCAGUCUCUUCUGCCAAUCCUCUGGGGGAACAUCACUGACUGCCCAGAGACCAAGGGGGACAGGAGAAGUCACAUGGUCUGCUGAUUCUCAACCAACAGAAAAGCAGGUGUCUAGGUGGGAUCUGAGGGCUUAUAACAAUUACCAAAAUUGGCUCUUGCUUGUUCUCCAAGUCUACCAGCAGUAGUGACGUGAUUCCCUCUCCUUUCCGCCAUGACUUCUUCACCUGUAACCUGCUGGGAGGAAGAGAAAACUUGGACACACACAGAGACACCAGGGAUGGGCACGGAGGAAAGACCAAGCGAGGACACGGAAAGAAGAAGGCCAUUUGUAAGCUGAGGAGAGAGGUCUCAGGGGAAAACAGAGCCACCAGCACCUUGACCUUUGGCUUCGAGCCUCUACAACAGUGAGAAAAUAAAUUUCAAUUGUUUAAACCA